CUUCACAACGGCAAACGACACAGUCUCAAAAGUAAUCGACCUUUUCGGUACUCUCUUUCACACAUCUCGUCGCUUGUGUGUGUGCAUGGAGCGCGUGCUCUCUACAUUGACCUCAAUAACCAGUUCUCUUCCAACUCCUAAAAUUUAGGUUAUAUCGCUAUGCCAUCACUACGGACGUGACUAAAAUGUACACGCAAAUACAUCUUGACAUUAUCAAUCACAAGUACCAGUACAUUAUUUGGAGAUCAUCCUUAAAAAACACUCUACGCACAUACCAACUUAACACGCAGUAAAAAUUAUCUUGGUGAUAUCCAUCGGGCUGACUGCACAGUUGUCAUUUUACGUUGAUGGCUACUUACGGUUGCAGACGACCUAGAGACGCUCCGCACUCAAAUAACGCUGGAUUGAAUAAGGAGCUCAGUUCGUAUGUUCACUCCAAGGAACCAGUCAACCAUCAUUACCGGAAAAAAACAAUUAUAUCUAUCGCAACGGCCUUCUUCGAACUUAUUGAUCUACCCUUGCCGCUUAUUGUCGUCGCAAAAAUACUCCUUCAAGAACUUUGGUUCGCUAACUUGUGCUGGGAUGAGAGCGUACCACAGAACAUAGAGCAAGUGUCUAGAGUCAAUCCAAAAAGUCUCAAUAUUGUCGAUACCUCGAUAAUGUUUUCGACACAAGCCUCGAUUACUUCAACUUUAUGGUUUUGUGCGAAUCAUCAAUCAGAGAUUACGGUUGCUGCCUGUAUCUACGCUCGGAGACACCGAAAGGAAAUAUUGCAGUUCAUUUGCUGACUGGCAAAACCAGAGUAGUUUCUACUAAGAAGAAUUCUCUUCCGAAAUGGGAGUCGUGCGGAGCACAUUUGCUUGAACAACUGUAUACAAAGAUAAAACUUUUUUAACGAACAGAAAAUACAUAUUUUUGGACCGAUUCACUUUUUUUCCAUUGGCGUAAACAGCACUCAAUAACUCCGUCAGCAUUCGUCUGUAACCGCAUAGCAAGUAGACAUUUUUUCCCGGUUGACUACCACAACUGAACUCACAACCUCUGUGUGGUUCACAGAAAUACCCAACCGAUAUCCCAGUGGCCAAAGUCUCCAGAAACUAUCGAUAUAAGCAUAGAAGUCGUCAAGGCGGAGCAAAGAAGGAGCGCAUUCUGUGAAAUUAUAAUCAACAAACACGUUCUCCACCAUUUGAUCCGUAUUAGCUCUUACAUUGGGCUGGAGGACGACUCCAGUACGCCGACAUCCCUGAAUCUGAAUGGUACACCCUGCUACUGCCUAGCACUUACAUCUUCGGAAUUGCCAUGGAGGCCCGAAACCUCUAGUCGCGCCAAUCCGUCUGGAAUACUGGAUCGUCAAUGAUGGAAGAUCGGGCUCGUCGAAUCAGUUGUUCCCGGACAGGAUGGGCUAAUCAAAGUGGGCACAUUAAAACAAGCACAAGCGAAUGCUACCGACCAGUACAUUAUUAAAAGAACAAAUUAACGAAACAGAAAAAUUGGGUUUCUAACCAUAAUUGUUAUUCACCAGAAAACUUAAAUAAUUAAAUUGAAAUAAAAUGAAGUAAAAAGCAAUUAAAUAA